UGACCUCGGAUCAGGUAGGGAUACCCGCUGAACUUAAGCAUAUCAAUAAGCGGAGGAAAAGAAACCAACCGGGAUUGCCUCAGUAACUGCGAGUGAAGUGGCAAAAGCUCAAAUUUGAAAUCCGGUGCCUCUUGGUGCCUGAGUUGUAAUUUGGAGAGACAAAUUUGUUUGAUGGCGCCGGCCUAGGUUCCUUUGAACAGGACAACAUAGAGGGUGAGAAUCCCGUUCCUGGCCGGAUGUUCUGUCAUAUAUCUAAAUUGUCUUCGACGAGUCGAGUUGUUUGGGAAUGCAGCUCAAAAUGGGUGGUAAAUGUCAUCUAAAGCUAAAUAUUGGCGAGAGACCGAUAGCGCACAAGUAGAGUGAUCGAAAGAUGAAAAGCACUUUGAAAAGAGAGUCAAAAAGUACGUGAAAUUGCUGAAAGGGAAGCGCUUGAGACCAGACUCGAACCGUGGUGAUCAGCCGUGCUUCUGUGCGGUGUCACUUGCCACGGUUUGGGCCAGCAUCGGUUCUGGCGGUCGGAUAAAAGGUGGAGGAAUGUAGCUUCCUUCUGGGAGUGUUAAUUUAGCCACCACCACAAUGCGGCCAGCCGGGACCGAGGACCGCGCCUUCUUUGGCUAGGAUGCUGGCGUAAUGGUCUUAAGCGACCCGUCUUGA
rnacentral:rRNA from 1 species